UACGUAGGGGGCAAGCGUUGUCCGGAAUCAUUGGGCGUAAAGCGCGUGUAGGCGGCUCGGUAAGUCCGCUCUGAAAGCCCGGGGCUCAACCCCGGGAGGCGGGUGGAUACUGCUGAGCUCGAGUCCGGAAGAGGAGUGUGGGAUUCCUGGUGUAGCGGUGAAAUGCGCAGAUAUCAGGAGGAACACCAGCGGCGAAGGCGGCGCUCUGGGCCGGUAACGUGACGCUGAGGAGCGAAAGCGUGGGUAGCAAACAGG
rnacentral:rRNA from 1 species